GACGAACGCUGGCGGCGUGCCUAAUACAUGCAAGUAGAGCGCAGUUGCGAAAGGGGGAGUAACGAGUAGGUAACUGCCUGGUAGCGGGGGAUAACUAGUGGAAAAGAUAGCUAAUACCGCAUACUACCAGAUGGACCUGCGUUGUAUUAGCUAGUUGGGGAGGUAACGGGUCACCAAGGCAAAGAUACAUAGCCGACCUGGGAGGGUGAUCGGCCACACUGGGACUGGGAAACGGCCCAGACUCCUUAGGGAGGGAGCAGUAGGGAAUCUUCGGCAAUGGGGGGAACCCUGACCGAGCAACGCCGCGUGAGUGAAGAAGGUUUUCGGAUCGUAAAGCUCUGUUGUUAAGGAAGCGGUACUUAACCAGAAAGGGACGGCUAACUACGUGCCAGCAGCCGCGGUAAUUC
rnacentral:rRNA from 1 species